rnacentral:rRNA from 1 species
AGCAGCCGCGGUAAUUCCAGCUCCAAUAGCGUAUACUAAAGUUGCUGCAGUUAAAAAGCUCGUAGUUGAAUUUCGGGACCAAUAUGUCGGUCGUGCCUCGGUACGUACUGGCAUCGUUGGUUUCUCCCUUCUGACGAACCAUGAUGUCAUUUAUUUGGUGUCGUGGGGAAUCAGGACUGUUACUUUGAAAAAAUUAGAGUGUUUAAAGCAGGCUCACGCUUGAAUACAUUAGCAUGGAAUAAUGAAAUAGGACGUUUGAUUCUAUUUUGUUGGUUUCUAGGAUCGACGUAAUGAUUAAUAGGGAUAGUUGGGGGCAUUAGUAUUCAAUUGUCAGAGGUGAAAUUCUUGGAUUUAUUGAAGACUAACUACUGCGAAAGCAUUUGCCAAGAAUGUUUUCAUUAAUCAAGAACGAAAGUUAGGGGAUCGAAGACGAUCAGAUACCGUCGUAGUCUUAACCAUAAACUAUGCCGACUAGGGAUCGGAUGAUGUUAAUUUUUUAAUGACUCAUUCGGCGCCUUACG